UACGGGGGGGGCAAGCGUUGUUCGGAAUUACUGGGCGUAAAGGGCUCGUAGGUGGCCAACUAAGUCGGACGUGAAAUCCCUCGGCUUAACCGGGGAACUGCGUCUGAUACUGGAUGGCUUGAGUUCGGGAGAGGGAGUGCGGAAUUCCAGGUGUAGCGGUGAAAUGCGUAGAUAUCUGGAGGAACACCGGUGGCGAAGGCGGCAUCCUGGACCGACACUGACGCUGAGGCGCGA
rnacentral:rRNA from 1 species